GGUGAACGGGGGGAAGGACAUUG
rnacentral:rRNA from 1 species